rnacentral:rRNA from 1 species
GGACGAACGCUGGCGGCGUGCUUAACCCAUGCAAGUCGAACGGAAAGGCCCUGCUUGCAGGGUACUCGAGUGGCGAACGGGUGAGUAACACGUGGGUGAUCUGCCCUGCACUUCGGGAUAAGCCUGGGAAACUGGGUCUAAUACCGGAUAGGAGCCAUUUUUAGUGUGAUGGUUGGAAAGUUUUUUCGGUGUAGGAUGAGCUCGCGGCCUAUCAGCUUGUUGGUGGGGUAAUGGCCUACCAAGGCGGCGACGGGUAGCCGGCCUGAGAGGGUGGACGGCCACAUUGGGACUGAGAUACGGCCCAGACUCCUACGGGAGGCAGCAGUGGGGAAUAUUGCACAAUGGGCGCAAGCCUGAUGCAGCGACGCCGCGUGGGGGAUGACGGCCUUCGGGUUGUAAACUCCUUUCGCUAGGGACGAAGCUUUUUGUGACGGUACCUAGAUAAGAAGCACCGGCUAACUACGUG